UGGGGAAUAUUGGACAAUGGGGGAAACCCUGAUCCAGCCAUGCCGCGUGCGUGAAGAAGGCCUUAGGGUUGUAAAGCGCUUUCGGCGGGGAAGAUGAUGACGGUACCCGCAGAAGAAGCCCCGGCUAACUCCGUACCAGCAGCCGCGGUAAUACGGAGGGGGCUAGCGUUGUUCGGAAUUACUGGGCGUAAAGGGCGCGUAGGCGGGCGAUCAAGUCAGAGGUGAAAGGCCUGGGCUCAACCUGGGAAUUGCCUUUGAAACUGAUUGUCUAGAGUCCGGAAGAGGAUGGCGGAAUUCCCAGUGUAGAGGUGAAAUUCGUAGAUAUUGGGAAGAACACCAGUGGCGAAGGCGGCCAUCUGGUCCGGUACUGACGCUGAGGCGCGAAAGCGUGGGGAGCAAACAGGAUUAGAUACCCAAGUAGUCCCUGAGCGGGCUGGCAAGGCGCAU
rnacentral:rRNA from 1 species